UAACACAUGCAAGUCGAGGGGUAGAGUUCUUCGGAGCUUGAGACCGGCGCACGGGUGCGUAACGCGUAUGCAAUCUACCUUUUACAGAGGGAUAGCCCAGAGAAAUUUGGAUUAAUACCUCAUAGUAUAAUAGCUCGGCAUCGAGCAAUUAUUAAAGUCACAACGGUAAAAGAUGAGCAUGCGUCCCAUUAGCUAGUUGGUAAGGUAACGGCUUACCAAGGCUACGAUGGGUAGGGGUCCUGAGAGGGAGAUCCCCCACACUGGUACUGAGACACGGACCAGACUCCUACGGGAGGCAGCAGUGAGGAAUAUUGGACAAUGGGCGCAAGCCUGAUCCAGCCAUGCCGCGUGCAGGAUGACGGUCCUAUGGAUUGUAAACUGCUUUUAUACGAGAAGAAACACUCCGACGUGUCGGAGCUUGACGGUAUCGUAAGAAUAAGGAUCGGCUAACUCCGUGCCAGCAGCCGCGGUAAUACGGAGGAUCCAAGCGUUAUCCGGAAUCAUUGGGUUUAAAGGGUCCGUAGGCGGUUUAAUAAGUCAGUGGUGAAAGCCCAUCGCUCAACGGUGGAACGGCCAUUGAUACUGUUAAACUUGAAUUAUUAGGAAGUAACUAGAAUAUGUAGUGUAGCGGUGAAAUGCUUAGAGAUUACAUGGAAUACCAAUUGCGAAGGCAGGUUACUACUAAUGGAUUGACGCUGAUGGACGAAAGCGUGGGUAGCGAACAGGAUUAGAUACCCUGGUAGUCCACGCCGUAAACGAUGGAUACUAGCUGUUGGAAGCAAUUUCAGUGGCUAAGCGAAAGUGAUAAGUAUCCCACCUG
rnacentral:rRNA from 1 species